UAAAAAGAAGCUUUUAUAGCUUGGAAUUUUUAAUUCCACGAAGUGAUUGUAUUUAUUCACCUUUUUAA
rnacentral:tRNA from 1 species